rnacentral:rRNA from 1 species
GAUGAACGCUGGCGGUAUGCUUAACACAUGCAAGUCGAACGGACUCUUCGGAGUUAGUGGCGGACGGGUGAGUAACGCGUGAGAAUCUGGCUUUGGGUUCGGGACAACCACUGGAAACGGUGGCUAAUACCGGAUGUGCCGAGAGGUAAAAGAGAAAUUGCCUGAAGAUGAGCUCGCGUCUGAUUAGCUAGUUGGUGAGGUAAAGGCUCACCAAGGCAGCGAUCAGUAGCUGGUCUGAGAGGAUGACCAGCCACACUGGGACUGAGACACGGCCGAGACUCCUACGGGGGGCGGCAGUGGAGAAUUGUCCGCAAUGGGCGAGAGCGUGGCGGAGCAAUACCGCGUGGGGGAAGGAGGUUCUGGGGUUGUAAACCUUUUUUCUUAGAGAAGAACAGAAUGACGGUACCUAGGGAAUCAGCAUCGGCUAACUCCGUG